rnacentral:sRNA from 1 species
GCUGGGAGUGGUGGUGCACACCUGUAAUCAUAGCAGCUUGGGAGGCUGAGGCAGGAGGAUCACAAGUUCAAAGUCAGUUUCAGCAACCUAGUGAGACCCUGUCUCUA